AGCGCCUGCAGUGUCGUGGCCCGCGUGUCGGAGGUCAGGCGGGUGUGGCGCGUGGCUGCCUGCCGCCGCCUCGGGCGGGCAGUCGCUGCCCAGCGAGCGGCCGAGCAGCCAGCAGCUCCAGCCGGACACGCCGCGCGGAAGAGCACAGGCGUGCAGAUGUAACGCAUACGUGACGAAGCCGGGAUUUGAACCGCAGACGCCGUCAGCUGUGCCCUUCGGCGGCCAUCGCCUCACCUCGUGGCGUACCAGCAGCACUGACAGACAUCGGUCAACAGGUCAACAGGACGAGGGCGACCCUAGGCCAGUCACCGCGUACCUCAACUGUAGGCUCCAUCUAGACUUCGAAGAUUUUCGUCUGCAGCCACAAUAAGCUUGGGACCCCGGAGCCCUCGCCCGCCCUGCUGCAGCUGACGACUCCGCAUGCGCCCGCUGCUGGCGGUGUUGUGCGUGGCCUGCGCCAGUGCCCUCCUGUGUCCACGGGCGGCGGCCGAGCAGCGGCUGCGCGUCUGCGGCCGAGAGCUGGCCGAGACGCUGAGCCUGCUCUGCAGGGACCGCGGCGGCUUCA